rnacentral:rRNA from 1 species
AGUGAACGCUGGCGGUAGGCCUAACACAUGCAAGUCGAACGGCAGCACAGUAAGAGCUUGCUCUUACGGGUGGCGAGUGGCGGACGGGUGAGGAAUACAUCGGAAUCUACUUUUUCGUGGGGAUAACGUAGGGAAACUUACGCUAAUACCGCAUACGACCUACGGGUGAAAGCAGGGGAUCUUCGGAACUUGCGCGAUUGAAUGAGCCGAUGUCGGAUUAGCUAGUUGGCGGGGUAAAGGCCCACCAAGGCGACGGUCCGUAGCUGGUCUGAGAGGAUGAUCAGCCACACUGGAACUGAGACACGGUCCAGACUCCUACGGGAGGCAGCAGUGGGGAAUAUUGGACAAUGGGCGCAAGCCUGAUCCAGCCAUACCGCGUGGGUGAAGAAGGCCUUCGGGUUGUAAAGCCCUUUUGUUGGGAAAGAAAAGCAGCAGGUUAAUACCCCGCUGUUCUGACGGUACCCAAAGAAUAAGCACCGGCUAACUUCGUG